GAUGAAGAACGUAGCGAAAUGCGAUAAGUAAUGUGAAUUGCAGAAUUCCGUGAAUCAUCGAAUCUUUGAACGCACAUUGCGCCCUCUGGUAUUCCGGGGGGCAUGCCUGUCCGAGCGUCAUUUGCAACCCUCAAGCCCGGCUUGUGGGAUGGGUGCCGUCCCCUACGGGACGCGCCCCGAAGGCAAUGGCGGCGUCGCGGUUAUCCGAUCAGCCAAAGUGUAUGGGGCUUUGUCACUCACUUUACGGCCCGGACCGGCGCCAGUCCGAAUCAAUCUUUUUUCUAAAGUUGACCUCGGAUCAGGUAGGGAUACCCGCUGAACUUAAGCAUAUCAAUAAGCGGAGGA
rnacentral:misc_RNA from 1 species